GGCCGCGUAGCUCAGUUGGAAGAGCAUUGCGCUAGUAUUCCAAAGGUCGUAGGUUCAAAUCCCACUGUGGCCU